CCACUCCCAGAAGGCUUCUGUUCCUCUCAUAACAGCCACUGGGGUGGAGACGCAUCCCCAAAUCAACCACCACUCUAGAAAGUGGAAAACAGCUGGAGCCACCCGGUGAGGCUGUGGAAAAGGAUCACAGAAUCCCAGGAUGGCAGUAUUCUAGACUGCUGCAGUCGUCUGGUCAAGUUUGAGUUUUAGGCUGAGUGCAGUGGCUCAUGACUGUAAUCUCAACACUUUGAGAGGCUCAUGCAGGAGGAUCACUUGAGCCCAGGAAUUCAAGACCAGCCUGGGGAACAUAUCAAGACCCUCUCCUGUAUCUGUACAUGUAAAAGCAAAAUAAGUGAGGCUGAGCGCAGUGGCUCUCACCUGUAAUCCCAGCACUUUGGGAGGCCAAGGCCUGCAGAUCACUUGAGGUCAACAGUUCGAGACCAGCCUGCUCAAUGUGGUGAAACCCCAUCUCUACUAAAAAUACAAAAAAGAAAAAAAAAUUAGCCAGAGGUGAUGGCGCACACCUAUAGUCCCAGCUACUAGGGAAGAUGAGGCAGGAGAAUCGCUUCCAGGAGGCAGAGACUGCAGUGAGCCAAGAUUGGACCACUGCACUCCAGCCUGGGCAGCAGUGCAAGACUCCCAUCUCCAAAAAAAGUAAAAUAAAAUAAGUCUGAGUUUUAGUUUGAAA